rnacentral:rRNA from 1 species
AUACGGAGGGUGCAAGCGUUACUCGGAAUCACUGGGCGUAAAGCGCGCUCAGGCGGCUUGAUAAGUUGGAUGUGAAAGCCUACGGCUCAACCGUAGAACUGCAUCCAAAACUGUCAGGAUAGAGUGUGGGAGAGGAAGAUGGAAUUAGUUGUGUAGGGGUAAAAUCCGUAGAGAUAGCUAGGAAUACCAAAAGCGAAGGCGAUCUUCUGGAACACUACUGACGCCGAGGCGAGAAGGCGUGGGGAGCAAACAGGAUUAGAUACCCGGGUAGUCC